rnacentral:lncRNA from 1 species
UUUCAUCCCAGCUACAGGGAAAAUCCUGCCAUCAGCAACUGAGCCCAAUCUUCUCUCCAAGAGUGACAACAAUACGGGUGAUUCUUUCACUGCUAAAUUUGAUCGGGCUUCCUUCAAACCGCAAACACCGCCCAAUUUAAAAGGAAUCUUUUUAGCCGAUUCCACAUUAACUCUUCCAGAAGCAUCUAGGCCUGCCUCUCACAAUAAAGUCACUAACACAGAAGGUCUAUCACAAACACCCUGACUGAAUUAUAUGGCCUACAACCGAGGUCAACUUUUCCUCCUCCUGAAUUCACAACAUCCAUGGGAACUUCCGAAUAUUCUGAACUUGUUCCUGUUACUACUAUGGGAAAAGAUACCACCAAAAAGAUUGAUUAUAACAUUCUACCUGAGGAACUAAUUAUUCCAUCUGAUGAAGUUAUUUUACCUAUUAUAAUUACCUCUGAAAAAGACAUGGCAAGUACUUUUAAAAGGAACAUAUUUGACCACAAAGAUCUUAGAGAGACGACUCCUAAAUAUGAAUCUAUUUAUUUUACAGAAGACGUUGCAGAAAGGGUGGAUGACAUUUCUUCUGCAGGCAAAAUCACUCCAGCAUAUGUAGACUAUAUAAUUAUUAAGUCUGAUGACAGUGGUUCUGAAUAUGUCUCAGAUAAGCAUGCCUUUGAUAUAGAGGAUAGAUCAAAUAAUCCCCCUGCAAAAUGGAGUACAUUCAUAUAUGCCCCCAAGACACAUGUGUCUCAUGCAGCAUAUACCACAGUUGCUGCUUCAGACAGUCUAUCUAAAACAACACCCCCAGAGUUCAACACUAAAGAGAAUUACCAAGCUAUGAUUCCUAGACAGGAAAACAAGAACUUAGACACCAAUUCCAUCGCUCUCAAAGAUUCCAAUGUCAAUGUCAAUACCAAAGCUCAUAGACCCACAACUCACUUCCUAAUUGAUGCAAGUAAGAAUUUUCCUUCUAAUUUUUCUGACAACACAUCUGUGGGAAAAAACACCAUCAGUGAUGAUGGUGACACCAUAGUUCUCUCAGAAGGCUUUGACUCAGAAAAUAAAAUAAUUGAGCAUUUCCUUUUUCCAGACACAAAACCCGUAGUUGACAGCAGGAUAUUCACAACUGAUACUACUAAUCAUGCUUUAAAAAAUAGUGACAAUUUCCUCAGGAAAAACAUAUCACCUGCCUUUUAUAAGACAUCUACACCCAGAAGAGCAGAUACUACCACAUCCAGUAUUUCUGAUUUUACCGAAGAUCAAACAGGUAGAGCUGCAGUAUCUGAUCCAAGGUUCAGCAGCUUUUCUUUAGCUCACCUUUCCAGUGAGGACAUGUCCAAUGUUAAUGAAAACACAGAAGGUGCAAUCAACACAGCUCUUACAUCCUUUAAUCCUUUGAAAAAGAUUUCUGCCAUUAUGCCAUAUGCUCCUGCUAUUGCCACUAAGAACAAAAAUAACAUUGGCCAUUAUAACUUUCCAUCAUCAAAAAGUGUCAUGUCUCUAAGACUUACAUCUAUGGGACUACCUGAAACUCUCAUCCUAACUUCUAAUCUUCCUUCUAAAGAAACUGCAGGCCCCAGACUUGUAAAAGGUCCAAACCUAUCUUACCCAACAGUGUUAAUAUCAGCUGCAUCAGAGCCUGUGUCUGUAGACUCACCUUACUUCAAUGAAGGCAUUGUCUCAGAAAGACAAAAUACUAAAAGCCAAAGAGUCCUAAAGGCUUUCCCCUUGGUUUAUACUGUUCUCCAAGCUGAUUCCACUGGUUCUUCAGACAAUAUGGCCAAAGUCAAGCCUAACACAUCUUCUACUGUUGUCACCAAGAACAAAAUUUUUGAUAAUGAUGCCUCUGGUGAUCAAAAUUCAGAACCCAAGAAAACAACAACAACGUUUUCUAUUCUUUUUCCUAAUGAAUAUAGUAAACCAAGCUUCUACAAGGAAAAUAAUUAAUGCUUCUACCAUGAAAGACAUAGCUACUGAAUUUGAAGUGAAUCACCUUACAGAUGUAAAUAAUGAAAUAGGAAACGAUCCAGUUAUCCAGGUGGAAACAAAUUCUCUAAAAGAUGCUGAAAAGCCUUAUCUUGUGAAUAAAAAUGUCAAUCCUGGUAAUAAGUCAGUCAGUAAGGAUUAUUACAGUGUCCUUGUAGCAGCUUAUUCAAGCUUUCAUAUACCCAAGGAUUUCCUCCCAGAAGGAUCUGUUCCUCAGAAACCCACUUCAUGGCUGAGAACUCAAACUUGCUCACGGAAGUAAAUACCAUUAUUCCUACUGAUGAAAAAUCUUCAUUUUUACACGGAGAUAACUUCUGAGUUAGAAGGAAAUUCUCUGUUGGAAUUUAAUGUAGCCAAUCUCAAAACAACAAAUACUGAAUUUUAAACUUCAGAAAGUACAAACGGUACACAUGAAUCCAUUGCUGGAAUAGCAAAAAUAAUACCUAUGUUUCAAGAAAUUUCUAUUAUACCACAAGCUAAAAAGGUUGUUGAAGUAAACACUUUUUUAGGGCUGAUACUCCUCAGUCACAAACAACAAAGCAGAUGUAAAUGCCAUCUUUCUUGAAGACAAAACAAUAGUGACCCCAGAGGCCAACACAUCUUUCAAUUACAACUUCCUUACUCAUGCACCCAACGUUCUAAUCACUGGAGGAAAAGAGGACAAAAAUGUGGAUGUCGUUAUAACCAAAUAUCAAAAUGUAAUUUCUCCUCUCACUUCCUUCACUGUUUAUAAAGGUGGGAACUCUUUUGUGAAUGGAGAUAUUGCACCUGAAAACUUCCUCACCAACUACAUUCUAGUAAUAAUUAUAAUCAACUCAAUUAAGGUUUAAAUUCUAUUUUCUCCAAUAAAUUUAUAAAAUCUGAAGACACAUAGACUCUCUCUAAAAUAGGAAUUCUAGUUUCUAUAGGAGAUACCACUCGUCUCAGUUGAUUCUUUCUAAAUUGCACUUGACAUUUCUUCUGAUAAAUCUUAAGAUAUGCACCAUACAAAGAAAGUCUCAAUGGUGGACAUCACUACGACAUCGGCACUUUCAAAGUCUGAUUCUGAGGACUCUUCUUAGUCAAGUAUCCCUGAAAAUCAUAAAUGUGCCAAAUGACCUUCCUGGGGCCUUACUGAGAAAUCUCCCCUUUUUGGUGGCAGUUUCCACUUUUUCAUUUAAAAAAAACAGCUGUUCAUCAUGAAGCUGAAGAAAUUGCUACUUGAAGGCAUAAUCACUGAGUCAAACACCUCAAAAUUUAGAGCAAGUAUGAAAUGUAACCCAAGAAAACUCCUGCUACAGCUACCAAAAUAAGGAAGAUAUAUACUCUAAGAGACAUGUCAAUGGAUAUAAAUUUGAUACUUUCCUGAGAAAAGACAAAAUGUUCUCAUUAGAUUGAUAGAUACCACAACGGAAGAAACUACAAUUCUGAUAAAAUGAAACUUAUCUAUAGAAUCUGAUCUUCUGUCCUUAAGACAGAUAAUAUUUUUUUAACUUUUUAUUGAGAUUAUGAUGGUUUAAAACCUUGUGAAAUUUCAGUUGUACAUUAUUAUUUGUCAGUCGUGUUGUAGGUGCACCACUUCACCCUUUGCCCACCCCACCUCCCCUUUCCCCUGGUAACCACUAACCUGUCCUCUUUGUCUACAUGUUUAACAUCCACAUAUGAGUGGAGUCAUACAGAGAUUAAGACAGAUAAUAUUUUUAAUGGUAAUUAUUGGUCAGAUAAGAAUAUACUAUAUUCCCUAGAGCAGAUGACUCCAGUUCCACCCUCAAGAUUGCUAAAGUUCCAGAAGUCCCAUCAGGAUUUUCACCGUGUGCUUCCUGCUCUUUGAUGGAUGACACACACUCUCCAUCUGAAGUGUCCUUUUUGAGCCCAAUGGUUUAAAAAACACAAUAAUGGUAAUAAUAUUCUCCAUAGGAGAAAAAAGCUUUAUUAUGCUAUAAUCAAUGUGAAUCCACUUCAUAGCUAUAUUAGUAGAAGCAAAGUUGGUGAGACCACAAAAGUAAACCCUGAAAUUAAAGACUAUUUGACAAAUUAGUAUCUAUGAAGAUGAUAUCAUCAUUUCACCUGACAUUUCUAAGUGCAGAUUAAAUACUCAUAAAAAUGGGGAUUGGUCCCAUGGUCGAGAGGUUAAGUUCCUGCACUCUGCUUCAGCGGCCCAGGGUUUCAGCGGUUUGGAUCCUGGGCACAGACAUGGCACCGAUCAAGCCAUGCUGAGGUGGAAUCCCACAUAGCACAACCAGAAGGACCUACAACUAGAAUACACAACUAUGUAUUUGGGGGCUUUAGGGAGAAGAAAAAAAAAAAAGAAGAUCGGCAACAGAUGUUAUGUUAGGUGCCAAUCUUUAAAAAAAAAAAUACUCAUAAAAAUGAAAAUUUUCCUCCAUAUUCUAACUCUAUUCACCAUAACAGAUACCAAGAUAACUUCCAGCAGUUACAUAGCUAAUACUUCCAUCUUUUUUUCCCCUUUUUGUACACAAAAAAAUUCCCCCAAAAGGACACCAAGUCUUUGGUUUAUAGCAUGCCUUGUCCUGAAUUAAGCUUCACAAACACUAGAUUAUGAGGAAAAAUGUAGAGGUUAAAAACUGCCCAUUAAGUUAGCCAGCCCAGAGAAUGGCUUUACCCUGUGAUUUCCUUUACUGCCACUGGAACCGAGAGUACUUUUAUUUAGAAAUAAAGAAACUGUGCCUAUCGUUAACUUGAGACUUCCUUCCCUGUCUCUGAUGCUGACAGCAUUCCCUGGAGCAGUGAGACAUGGGAGCCCAUGAUAGUGACAGCCCCUUGAAGCAAAAUCAUUUCUGGAGAAGCUGCCCAUAUCUUUAAAAUGAAAAAUGUUCAUCUUAAAACCUGUCUGAUAUUUCUACAGAGAGUGGUGAUAUAUCUGUACCAGGUGAAUCAACUAAGAAAAGACACUGUAAACUUUGAGGUUGAGUCCAUAUCUAAUGAAGAAUAAGCAUUUGCCCUUGAGAUGGAAACCACUACUCUAGGCGAAACUGCUGCCCUUUUUCAGAUUUAGUUUUGUCUGAGUCUGAAAGUUCUCUUUCUUCUAAUGACCCUGGGAAAAGAGUAGUACCAGACUACAAUCUUCUUGUAUCUAAUUAGCUAAAUCUUAAGAUGAUAACAAAAUAAUAAUGACUGAUGUAACUAACAUCAUUAGACAAAAUAUUCCCUCUGAAAUUGAGGAUAUAAUUCUUAGGGCUAAUACAGUUAUUCCACAGCCUGAUCUUGUUUCUGGGUGAAUUCUGACAUUUACCACCAACUUCCUGCCAGAAAAUUCUUUUCAGGUUGAAAUAGCACUCUCUACAGGAAAACAUUUCUAAAGAAAUUAAACCUACAAAACCUGACACUCUCACUGUUAUUCAAGUUAAUUCAAGAAAAAGUAAGAAUUACAGGGAAGAAGAAAACUACAAAGACUCUAACAGGUCAGUAACAUAUUUUUUAUUAUCCAUACUGAAAAAGGGAGAAUUUCCUCCCUGAAGAAGAGAACUAACUACAAUCCCUGCUCCCUGAGCACUUUCUACAGCCACAUUCACUGCUGAAAGGGCCAUGAAGUUUUUUAGACAUUUAAAUACCAUGAAUCUCAAGAGAAGAUGCUUCACCUCAAACACCUCAAAAAAGAUAUUGCUACUUAACUUGAAGGACAGGCAACUUGGAGAUGAUGCUGAUAAUCUUGUGGCUCUUGGAGUUUCCUCCAUUGACACUGGCAGACUCUGUUAUGUCUGUUUCAAGUGACACAAGCCCCAUAUUGGAAGGCACAUCCUUUAUAUUCAGAAAUAUGUUAAAUCCCAAGUUCUUUGCAAUUGAUAUUCAGCUGUGAAUUUUGAUUACAUAACCAGAGAGGACUCUGUUGUCUUUUUAUCUAAUAUCAAUACUCUUGCAACCAGGUGCCCAAUCAGAGCACAGAAACAACCUCCACAGAGAGCCAAUGCCAUUGGCCCUGUGGUUGAUGUAACAAUCACCUUGAUGACCAGUGCUUCCAUCACUAUAAUGAAUACUACUCUCCUGCCUAGGGAUAUCACUGGGCCCAGGGAAAGACCUCUGAGUGUGCAUAGUGCCACUUCGUCCCAUGGCUGAAGAUGGUGUGCCAAAAAUUUAUUCUCAUCCUCCAACAGAAAGCAGUAAAACAACAACGGAAGCAACCAUUUUCUUUGGGGCUGAAAACACUAUUCCUAGAUCAGAAACAACUAUUACUUCAGAAGGAGACCACAUUACUUCAGUAAAUGACCAUAUGCAAGAAAGUGAUUUUUCAACAACUACAUACAACAAGCUUACAUCUCUAAAGGAAAGACUAAAAUCAGAAGAUGAUGCUGAAUCCCAUAUUCUUAAAUCAUCAACUCAUCUGGAGAAAGACAUUACCACUCUGACAGGCACUACAAACUCCAUGGCUAGUGACUGUAUUACUGAAGAUUUCAUUUCAAUGAAAAUUGGUAAUAUCUCAUCACCUGUUGCUACUGUGUCUUUAAUAGAUUUUUCCACUAACAGGGCAAAAGAAGAUGUUUUCUUGGAUACUAUUGGCUCAGGGGAUGAAGACGUCUCAACAACUUCUGAAGUCUCUGGCACACUAAAAGACAGCACCACCAACACUGCUGACACCCCUGCCCUUCCAGCUAACAAUGAUAGCUCCUCAGUUAAAUCCAAUGUCGCUGCUGAUGAGGCUGUCCAGAUCACUGACUCCUCUAUUCCUGAGGCUGAAAUCUCUCCAGCUACUGAAAAAAACGUCACCACUAUUCCAGACAUAACCACCGUUACAGAAGAGAAAAUAACUGAAAUUGACUUAAUUCUUCCAGAGGAUGACCCUAAUGUUGUGCCUAAACUAACUGACUCUGAUGAGGAAAAGUUCAUCACUGUGUUUGAACUCACUACCACUGUUGAAAGAGACAAAGACAACCCAGAAGAUAUUCCGCUAACUGAUGAAGAGUCUACGGAGGAAAUCAAUGUUUGGACAGAAAGAGAGAUUGCAAAUGAAGCAGAGAAAUAUCCUGUUUUGCUAAGUGCUGUUGAAUCCAGAUAUGACUUCAUUGUCCCUGCAUCUGUAGCGACGAACAUCAAGGAAGAUUCAUCUACUAUGACAAAAGAAGAUUUGUCUGAAAAUAAUAGAAUGGAAUCUGUCUUAAGCACUGAUAUCACACUCUUCUUAUGCUUUUGGUUAACAAUUCAAGGACAUAGAUCUUCAUUCUUUCCUGACACAGGCUUUUAAAAUGGGUCUGUUUUCACUUUGCUGAUUUUUCUUCAAUAAAUCUUUUUGACGGCAACUGAUUUACUGUGUAUGGAUGUGUUUGAUAUUC